UGGGGAAUAUUGCACAAUGGGGGAAACCCUGAUGCAGCGACGCCGCGUGAACGAAGAAGGUAUUCGUAUCGUAAAGUUCUGUCCUAUGGGAAGAUAAUGACAGUACCAUAGAAGAAAGCUCCGGCUAAAGACGUGCCAGCAGCCGCGGUAAUACGUAUGGAGCGAGCGUUGUCCGGAAUGAUUGGGCGUAAAGGGUACGCAGGCGGGUUAAUAAGUCGAAUGUUAAAGAUCAGGGCUCAACACCUCAAAGCAUUGGAAACUGAUAAACUUGAGUAGUGGAGAGGAAAGUGGAAUACCUAGAGUAGUGGUAAAAUAAGUAGAUAUUAGGAGGAAUACCAGUAGCGAAGGCGCCUUUCUGGACACAAACUGACGCUGAGGUACGAAAGAGUGGGGAGCAAACAGG
rnacentral:rRNA from 1 species